CACAGAGAUGAAUGGGGGUCUACGUGGUGUAUUCGGGUGGGUACCAUAUACAAUCAGUACAGCAUCUUUCUCUGUUGGUCUAGUAGUGUGGCAGAUCUAAUUAGUUUCUUAGGUGUAUUUAUUAUUGUUUCCAAUUGUUCUCUGGUAAUGUUACUCUGUAGGUCCUGGAACCAUUGCUCAGCCGGUUUUAAGUCUGCAAAAUUAAUCGAGGACCGGAGCAGCCGGUAACACCAGGAGAUUGGUUUACAUUUAAGUGGGAGCACAUCCCUGAUAGCCAUCUGUUCCCAUCCCAUCACCGUCUGAGGGGUCCCCUCUUGGGAGGGGUAUUGGUCGGUUGUACUUAUGUAAGAACGAUUUUAAUUGUGUAUAAAAGAGUAUUGUGAUGCUAGGGGUAAUUGGUAUGUGGACUGAAGGGCGGCAAAGUCCAUUAAUUUGUUGUGUUUGUAUAUGUGCGAUAUGUGUGUGACCCCCCCUUGUCUAUCCACGGUUUAGCGUUUAAAGUCUGGUAUACAGUAGGUGAUUGCUUUUAUCGGCAUUGCCAUAGACCGGGAAGUGGAGCUUUCCAGUUUUCCAGUCAUGUCCCAAAUCCUCACCAUCAGCUAAACCUGGUCUGGGAGUUGCAGCCUGUGUGGUUUAAAUUUCUGGGUAACCAUAGUAUGAUGGGCAGGUCAAAGGGCGCCAUAGCCGGUCUUUCCAGCCAUACCCAUUGUAGUGGGUGUGUUAAGGAGGUGGGGCAGAGUCGAUGCUAGUACUGUGGCCUGAUAGUUUGCUUUGAUGUCUGGGAAGGCUAGGCACCCCUGUUUCGUUGGGCCUGCAUCAACCUCCUCGAGAUUCUAGUUCUAACCCCACCCCACACAAACCUCGACAUCUCUUUCUGAAUUGUAUGCAGAUGCAAAAGUGGUACUCGAAGUGGGAGUGUGCGAAAAAGGUAUUGGAGCCUAGGUAGGAUGGCCGUUUUGAGUGACAAUUCUCUCAGUCCAGGUCAAGACUGCGUUUUUGGUAAAGGUCAGGACUGGAUAUUUGAGGUUGCCCGUCCUCCACUCGAAGAGGUAGUCCCUCUUGAGAUUAGCUAAAUCCUGGGGGGUAAGCCUUAUUCUUAGUGCUUGGGUUUUGCUGGUGUUGAGUGAGUAGUAAGACAUUGUAGCGGAGUAGCAGGGGUUAAUCCAAUAGCUCUCCGCUGGGAACAAAGAUUCAGCAUACAAAAUCACAGGAACACAGCAUAAUCCACCUCCCCAAGGACUAGACGACACAUAGUCUGGGAGUCAACUGCUAGCUUUAUUCACAGGUCUGCUUUUAUGCAUUUCUCCCAUGCAAGGGAGGUAACUACUCAUAAUUACUACAGUAACCAAUCAUACCGUGGUCACCUCCCAUCCCUCUCCUCCCCUUAGAUUAACACAUAACAAGAUUAAUAUGUACACAGUUUUCCCCAAUUUGUGGAUGUCCCCUAAAUACAGGGGGUACAGGGUUGAAUAAGGGGUCCCCUGGUAGCCCUGAUCUAGGUGAGCAACAUACUCAAAAUUCACCCAGAUCGGACCAGGGGUUCGGGAGUUACAGACUGUUAAAGAUUUGACCGACCGCACGGGCUCAGUAGCCGAAAACAGUUCCAUGAAUUCUGGCCCUGCGGUCGGUCUUUUCUAGUGAAUCAAAAGUCCCAAACGGCUGGGGCAUCCAGGCUUCCUUUACCGUUCGAAUGAAUCCCCUCGUUCGUGGGAUUCCACAUACCGAAUGCCGAGGUGUUCGUGUGUUUGCUUUGUGAUUUUUGAGCCUGCUGGAGGUCUUAGCGGUACUUGGUUAGUCGAAUGCCCGGUUUGAGUUCCAGGCGUUCGACCAAGUACCGCUGUUCGUGCGUAAGAUGGCCGCCGCCACGUGUUCGGUAGGCAAAAUGGCGGCCACACACUUCACAACAUUGUAUCUUUGGUUAAUAGGAGACACACGACCACCGCGGGGUGGUCUCUCGUUCGGUAGUUUCAGGGCAUUCGCAUGAAUAACAGCAUGAAUAACAGUAUAGUCCGUUCGUGAAUUGAGUCUCUGCCUUUGCACACAUUCGCUUAUAAUAACUCCAGUGUUCAUUCGCACAGAACAGUUAGUAUUUUAGUGGCAGGGUUUGCCACAGACAUGUCCCCAUAUUCCUUUAUUAGUUGCAGUAUAUGCUGCGAUGAUUCCUCAGGUCGGGAGAAAUAUAGGAGAAUAUCAACCGCGAAUGCGCUUAUUUUAAGUUUGCAACAGUUUAGGUCUAUUCCGUGGAUUUCCAUGUGUUGUCUAAUUGUGCAUAAAGGACGUUCCAGGGCCAGAACAUAUAUCGUGGCGAGAGAGGACAGCUUUGUCUUGUGCAAUUUGUAAUAGGGAAUGAUUCGAGAGGAAACCCAAUUGCAAUACUCGAGCAGUUGAGACGGAAUAUAGUGCUAAGAUUUUGAGCAGGAACUCGGAGGGGAAUCCGUACUUUGUUAAAGCCUGUUCUAGGAAGGCCCAGCUGAGGCGGUCAAACGCUUUUUCAGCGUCCAGGGCUAAUAGGAGUCCGCCUCAGCCAGCUCCCUUAAGUCGUUCCAUUACCAGCGAUAAUUUGCCAGUAUUAUCUUGACCAUGUCUCCCUGCUACAAAACCUGUUUGGUCAUCUUUAAUUAUGGACUGGAGAAUAGGGAUAAGUCUGUUAGCGAGAACUUUCACAUAGAUCUUCGCAUUAGUAUUUAGCAGAGAAAUGGGUUUGUCAGGUUUUGGCAAUGUUACUAUGGUAGUGAGCAGCAUUUCCGAUGGGAAUGUGCCGGUCUCUAGCGCUGAAUGAUAUACUUUAAGUAAAAUAUACUUGCACAUUUUUUAUAAUACGCGUUGGGAAGGCAAUCUGCUCCGCAGGAUUUUGAUUGUCUUGAGGACUUAGUCUAUCGUGAUUUGCUGGAGCCGGGAGUCUACUUGGGCCUGAGCAAUUUUGGGGAGGUUUAUCUAGUUAUCCCUUUAUGCGUUCUGCUUCCUUGUACCCAGAUUACAACUUUUUUAGAGAAAUUGCAAAUUAUUGGGCAAUGUCAGUUGGGUUUCUUUUUCCUACCAUCUUCACCAGUCAGGUGGGGGAUUCUGGAAGAUGCCAAUUGUGCUCGGAGUCGAGCAGUCAGAAAACGGGAUGCUUUCCCGCUAGUAUGGUAUGUGGUGGCUAGUAGUUUAUGCAAAAAAUAUUUGGUUUUUGUGGGCAUUGAGUUCAGUAAGUAUGUGGAGUUUAUUGGCUACCUCAGGGGAGGGCAACUGUUUGUUUUGGGCCGUAAGUAGCACUAUUUGUUUAUGGCAGCCCAGUAAACUGGAUUGUUGGGUGUGUUUAAGGUAUGCAGACCGUCUGAUGAACCUACUCCUUACCACUGCCUUGUGGGCAGACCACACUUUUAGGUCUGAAGUUUCCCCAUUGGCAUUGAUGUUGAAAUAGCUACUGAGUUCCUCCCUCACCUGGUCUGCAAAAGUUUUAUCUUGUAGCAGAGAUUCGUUGACCCUCCAUGUUCCUUUUCCUUUAAAUUUGUACUUAUCAAACGGUCUAGGAAUACGGUCUGACCACGUUAUGUCCCCCAGUUUGCUGGCGCUAAUUGUGCUAGUGUGUUAUUGUCGAAUGUGUCUAUGCAGGUAUAGGUAUUGUGGACCCUGUAAUAGAAGGAGUAGUCCCUCUCUUUGGGGUGAAGGACUCUCCAACCAUCGUGGAGAUUGUGAAAGGUCAUCGUGUGGGUUAGUGAUUUACAGAGUGCCUGUAAGCUUUUUUUUUCUCUUGCCUGUCGGCGUAGCCGUAGUGUCUAAGGUAGGGGAUUGGAUAAAAUUUAAAUUGCCCCCCAGAAGCAGGCCCCCUAGUUUAUAUUCAUCAAUUUUUAGCAAUAGGUUCCUAAGAAAGGCAGUGGUGUUUGUAUUUGGGAAGUACACCGACACUAGGGUGGAUGGUAUGCCAUUGAAAAUGCCCACCAGGAAGAUGAGUCUUGCAGUGUAAAGGCUACGUUUCUAUGUUUAAAUAUGGAUACCCCUUUCAUCUUGGAUUCUGAGAGGGUGUGGUACUGAAUCGGGAAUACCUUGUUAAAAAUGGCUGGUAUCCUGGGUGUUUUGAAAUGCAUUUCUUGGAUAUAUGCAAUGUCCAUCACGAGUUUAAGAUCCUGGAGGAGGAGCCUCCUCCAACGUGGGGAGUUUAGCCCCUUAACAUUAUAGGACACUAUUCUCAUUACUGGGUAUGUUUAAUGUGGUCUGCUUAUGAUAUAAGCGUCUGGUAUUUGGUAGCGUAGUGGAGCAGGUUGUAAACACAUAGCUUGGGGUGCGUCUCUCACAGCGGUUGUGACUCUCCCGGGGGUAAGGAGUGGGGUCAGGGCUUAGGUAGGUGUAGGGCAGAUGACACUUGGAUAUAGGGGUAGAACAGAGGGGUAUUGAACCCUAUCCGGCUCACAGGUGUUGAGCCUGGUUGCGCUGACAGAUUCGAGCGCCUCUCAUGUGGGCCGUGGUCAUGACAUCCCUUGACAUAGAGAAUUCCUCCCUAUUGACAGUAUACAGGAGCAUUAUGUGUGGUGCAGAAUUAUCUACAAACAGGCAGUAAAGUAGUUCCCUCCAUGAUUGUUACUUUAGAAACGCACUGAUUCCCAUUGCCUUGCAGAUUAAGUGAUAGGCUGUGUGUGCGUCCUGAGUCAGCUUAGUGGGCAGAGUCUACAUCUAGCCCUAACUCAGAAAUCUCAGGGCCUUUGGUAUUUAGGUUACCUCAGAUAAGUGGUCUCUGUCAUAUUUGGGUCUUGUCAUGGAACAUAUCAUAAGUAAACUGUUAACUUAACCAUUAACUAAAUAUCAGUAGUCCAUAGCGACUCCAUCAUAGUUAUAAGAGUGUCUUGCAUACUCUCUGUGAAGAAAUCCCUCUCUAUGCACCCUAGUUCUCCCUUAUUCAUUCAGUAGAUCUUACUACCGAACAAAGACCACCCCCCGGCUCAUUAAGCUUCAAAGCAUUUGUCAAUUGACCCCUCUAUCUGUGUGGCCAGCGUUCGUACUACCGAAUGCCACGAGGCUGAGAAAACUGCAGCCAUCUUUUUUCAGUCGAAUUUUGUGCAUUCAAUUGAGGGGAACAAUCGUUGCUGAGAGCCAGGGGAAUCCAUUCGGAAUUUUAUUCGUUUUUUUUUACCCCUUUACUGAAGUGACCGGCAAAACCACCCAAACUCCUGGAACUCUUUUGGGCAGCCAGCCCACGGUUAGCCGGUCACAGAAGACUUCCACCUUUUUUGAGAACCCCUGAACCGAUCUGGGUGAAAUUUCAAUAUGUUGGUCACUCAGAUCGGGGCUAUCAGGGGACAUAUUUGUGGGAAUACCUCAUGUAUAAAGGGGUGUUUCAAAUAUUGGGGAAAAUUGUGAUUUUUCUGCCUGGAGAUAAUCAAGUUAUUACUUUAUCAGACCUGAUUAUCUCCAGGACUAGGGGAGGAAAUUGUAUGUGUGUACUGGGUGUAUUUUAUGAUUUUACUGUAACGGAUUGGUUAAACUGUGUCCCUCCCUGUGGGAUGUCCCCUUGCAUGGGGACUUGCAUAAAAGCCUGUGUGUGGUAAUUAAAGGCAGUUCUGUUGUACCCUUCUUCUUGACGUCGGCUGAUGUUUGGGGAUUUGUGUGCUUUAUUAAGGGAAUUAUCUUAUAAAGCUAUUUGUAUUACUAUACAUUUAGUCUAUUUCAACUACCGAACGGAGAGCUAUACUCACUGAUGCUCUGGCGGUUCGGGAGGAAACUACCGAAUGAGGAUUACAUAUACCCGGUUUCCUUACAACUGGUGACAGCAGUGGGAUUAAAAUCCCAAAUGGACGUCCUGAACCAAGCAAGGGAAUGAAUGGCUCAGCAAUACUAGCUACUUAAGACUACACUAAAAGAUUUACUGGAAGCUCAAGGCGUAGUGGCAAGUAACAAGACAAAAGCCAUGUUAAUUGUAGAGUUAAUACAGAGCAACGGAACCAGCAAUACAGAGAUGGAGCAUGAGGAAGAAACCGAGAUGCAGAAGGAUAUCAGAUGGAUGCUCAGUGUAUUGGGACCGAAUACAUCAUCAGAGGCGGUUUUGCAGAUCAUGGCACAAGCCAGGCAAUCGCAAAAAGAGCGAGAGGACAGAGACAGACCGUUUGCUACACUCCCCGGGAAGUAUAAAUGACCUACCAAAGAAGGUAAACUAUGCAGCGUUUAAAAUGUUUAAAGACAAUGACAUGGAAAUUGACAGUUAUUUGCAAGACUUUGAACGUCAAUGUGCGCUGGAGGGAUUAGACUGCACAAAAUGGGCUGCAGUAAAUAGCAGCAAGCUGUCAGGAGAAGCAGCAGAGGCGUUACGAGCAGUACCUGAUGAGGACAUACACAAUUAUGACAAAGUAAAAGACAUUUUGGUGGCCAGAUACACUGUGACCCCAGAGGCGUACAGGAAAAAGUUUCGGGAACUUCGGAAGACAAGGAGAGAUUCACAUACUGAAUGGGCUUUUCGGCUACACGUCCCCAACCAAGAACAACAGUGGAGUGUUCUACAUGAGGUCAACCCAGUACAAAAAGGAGGCGACAACUGGGACCACCACCGUCAAUGGAUUACAGUGGAUGGCGUGGGGGCCCAAGCUAUGAGAGACUCUGGGGCCACUCUAACCGUGGUACAACCACACACGGUCAAGGCUCAAACUCGCACCAGUCGCACAGUAGCCUUAAGGGUAGCUGGGGGUGCCAUACACAAGCUACCUACAGCCAACGUCCUUGUCGACUGGGGUUCUGGGUCCAAACAGUUGGAGGUGGCAUUAUGCAGGAACUGCCGGCAGAGGUCUUAUUGGGAAAUGACGUAGGCUGUUUAACCUCCCAACUAGCACGGGACACCACUUCGGAAGCCUACCCGGUUACCACCCGAGCCCAAGCCGGACUGGAAGGAAAACCCGAGCCCAAGUGCACUGGAAGGCUGCACUCUGAGGAAAACAAGGUAGGAGUUGACAUACCCCCUUUGCCCGAUCCCCCUUCCACCUUCUGGGAUACACCACGGGGUUUUGAACAUCGAACAGACCCCACACUAGAAGGGUAUAGAAAGGCCGUAGAGGUCACUCGGGGGGACAGCACCCACGAAAAGUUUGAAUGGUAUAAGGGAUUGUUGUACCGAGUGACAGGAGGGGUGGUACACGGGGCCACUCAAGUCACUAAAAGACAACUUGUACCCUGUAAGUUUCAUACUGAGUUAUUAAAACUCAGUCAUGACAUUCCCCUAGCAGGACAUGUAGGGGUUAAGAAGACGAGGGACUGGUUGACCCAAACGUUCUUCUGGCCUAGGAUCACGCAAGAUCUUAAAUAAUAUUGUAGAACGUGUGAUAAAUGUCAAAGAAUAGGGAAGAGAGGUGACCACCAAAAAGCCAAACUCCACCCUUUACCCAUUAUAAAAGAGCCGUUUCACCGAGUAGCGGUGGACUUAAUAGGACCUCUCAGCCGACCCAGUCAGUCCGGCAAGAAGUUCAUCCUAACCAUAGUGGACUACGCCACUAGAUACCCGGAAGCGGCAGCCCUCGCGAACAUAGAGGCAGAGACCAUGGCAGAGGCCCUAGUUAAAAUAUUCUCCCGGGUAGGUUUUCCCCAGGAGAUCCUGUCCGAUCGGAGCACUCAGUUCACAGCAAUCCUGACACAGCAAUUGUGGCAGAGCUGCAGAGUAAAAUCUCUAUUCAGCGCCCCCUAUCACCUCCAGAUCAAUGGGCCAUGUGAACGUUUUAAUGGUACGCUUAAGAAGAUGCUAAAGACCUUCGCAGAGACCUUCGCAAAAGAACAGUUAUCUUUUUUCUAUGUGUUAUUUUUUGGAUGGUAUCAGUUUCGGUAUCCGUUUCGAUUAUAGCAGAUUGGUAAAUAUUCUAUUUGCCAUUUGUUACAUAUGUUCCUAGUGGGAGUUCUAUUUAAUCAGUUUUGUUUUAUUUUAUUUUGCUCCUAUCUCAUUAUAUUCACCCUUUACUCUACACACAUAUGUUUUCUGGUACUGCCGUUUUGGACAUUUCUUAUUAAGCUAGGCAGUUCCUUAAAGGGAACAUAUGAUGUGUUGUGUGUUUUUUUUGUUUGCUUUUUUGUUUUUUGAUUUCAUAAUAAAGUAUGUUCAAGAUUUUUAACUUUGUAUAGUUUAUUUAUCAUAUGUUAUUCUGGAUGGUGUUGGAACAGAUUUUUGUUUUUCUCUUUCAGUAUUAUUAUCUAGGGUUACCCCCUUAUCUGUUCCUAACUUAUAUCAAGACAUUUAUUGAAUUAAACCUUUUUGCCAUUUAUUCAUUUUUAUAGUUUAAUACUCAAUUAUAUAUUAAUUAUUAUAAUUUUUUACAGUUGUGGCAAAUGCGCCGCAAAAAUAAAUAAAAAAUCACAGUAUACCAAAAGAUGGCAAGAGGCUACAGGAACCAAUUUCCAGGGAAGUUCAAUGGAUUUAUAUAAAACCUCUUAAAUUUGGUUUAAAUAAAGAUAUUAAUUUAAAGGGUUUAAUUUGGUUUUCUUGUUGCUUUGUCACAUUAUCUGCCACAUGUUUUUUUUUGUUUUUUUUAUUAGACUACCAUUUAGGAGAAAUAAUUCCUGCCACCAAUUUUCUAGCAUAUAUAUCUAUUUAUUUAUUUUUUAUUUUAUUUUUUUUAAGAUACUGUGUGAACAGACCACUCAGCUGUGAUUGUAGAUAUUGAAAUAGAUAUGAACAAUAAAACACGGGGGGAAAUUAGAGAUUAAAUGAGAUUGUUGUCAGACGGUGGAUAUUAUGAAUAUUUAUAUGAUGAGUGUGGCAAACCCUGCCACUUGGACUAAUUAUUCUGUGUGAAUAGGUGUAAUUCACCAAGGGAAUAACCACACGAAUUGACUUUAAUAGUAUUGUAAUGUUUUUAUUCGAAUGUAUGAAACUACCGAACGGAAGACCACCCCGGGGUCGUCGUUUGUUCCCCAUUAACAGAGUGAUACAUUGUUGCGAAGGGAAUUAAGUACCUGUAUGUGUGGCCGCCAUUUCGCCAACCGAACACGUGACAACCAAGUACCGCACAAACAGCGGUACUUGGUUGUCGAACGCCUGGAACUCAAACCGGGCAUUCGACUAACCAAGCACCGCUAAGACUUCCAGCGUGCUCCGACAAUACGAAUCUAACACACGAACGCCCCGGCGUUCAGUAGAUAAAUUCCCCUAAAUGAGGGGAAUCAUACGAAUGGUAGCAAUCGCAUGGAUGGCUAACCGUUCGGUAUUUGUGGUUCACUGAAAUAGACCGACCGCAGGGCCAGAAUGCAUGGAACUGUUUUCAGCUACUGAGUCCCUGCGGUCAGUCAAAUCUUUAACAGGCUGUAACUCCCGAACCCCUGGUCCGAUCUGGGUGAAUUUCAAGUAUGUUGCUCACCCAGAUCAGACCUACCAGAGGACCCCUUAUUUGUCCCGGUACCCCAUGUAUUUAGGGGACAUCAAGAAAGUGGGGAAAACUCUGUCCCCACUAAUCUGUUUAACUGUUAAUCUAAGGGGAGGAGAGUGAGGGGAGGUGACCGGGUUACAAUUGGUUACUGUACAAAUUAUGAAAGUUACCUCCCUUGCAUGGGAGAAAUGCAUAAAAGCAGACCUGUGAUUAAAGCUAUCAGUUGACUCCCAGACUACGUGUCGUCUAGUCCUUGGGGAGGUGGAUUAUGCUGUGUUCCUGUGAUUUUGUAUGCUGAAUCUUUGUUCCCAGUGGAGAGCCCUUGGAUUAACCCCUGCUCCUCCGCUACAAUGAGAUUAAAUUAUAUUUCGGAGAAAACACUACUCGUGCCACACCAAUUCCAACUAUAUGGUGGGCUUUCGACAGUGUCAUUCGAGGUUUUCCUAUUCAGUUUGGGUCAGAAAAGAAAGAGGGAUUAUCCAUUAAUCAAUUAUAUAUGCCAUUAUAUAAUUUGAACACAGAAAAUGAAAAAAUCAUACAAAAGAGAGAUGUAUAAAAAUAUUAAAUAUAAUGUAUAAUCUGGAUAAGAUCAAUGGAUAAGAUCAAUAACAUACUAGUUGCCAGAGUCAGCUAUGCCCUACAAAAACUAAACCAGAAUUGGUAUUACAAAGGCAACAAAGCUGAUAAAUGCUUACUAACAAAAUGAAAAAUCGAAAGGCUAGGGUGAGGGUUGAAAAAUUGGCUAUUGAUGGCCAUAUCUAUAGAACCCCUAAAUCUAUUGGCCAGGCCUUUAACAAUUUCUCCAAGCAGCCAGCUUCCAAUAUUGUCUGAUGAGCAGUGUGAGGAUAUUUAUGGGAUGAUAAAUAUUAAAAUUAAUAUUUUUAUAAAAAUUAUCAAAAACUAAUUAUACCAAAAAUGUAUGUAUUGGCACUGUUUCCCUUGAUUAAUUUAAAGCAAAGAGUUACCCAGUAUUUUAACUCUUAUAGACCCUGAAGUACAUUUUAGUAGAGAAUUUGCAUUUCACACAUUAAUCACAAACGAUUUAUAAAAAUAUAAUUUAUUGGGACAAAUAAUAUGUAACAUGCGUGACAAUAAUCAGUGAAUAUUUAGAUAUAACAUAAGUAUACAGUAUGGCAGCAGUUAUAACACAACUACAGAUCGCUCAAUAGCAACAUAUGUUUAAUUCUAAAGGAGUUACAUGCAUAAUUACAAAUACUUCCUCUAGAAUUCAGUCAACAGUUAUAUCCACAUCAAUGCAAUUUUAGCAAAAUUACAGGAAUCCUUCAAUUUAGGAAUUAUUUGACACGGAUCUCACAACAGCUUUGAAAUUCCUUUACACAGAACUUAUCAUACAGCAGCACAGCUUCCAGCCAUAACUUUUGCUGUGAGUUUGGAUCAUACUGAGUUAACUCACUCGCUGCUGGUGAUAAUUCUCACAUGAAAAACACCUUUAAUAUUGCAGCUAAAAAAAAUACAAUAUUUUUCACAAGAAAUCAGUUUAACUAUUCCUUUUCCAUUCAGUAAGCCAAAAGAAUAAUCCAACGAAAAAUUGACAUUGCCGGUGAUUAACGUUCCUGAUUAAAGAUUAACUAUCCCUAAAUUGAGAUAAGUCAAUAUCUCUGGAUAAUAUAGCACGAAAUACAGAUAAGAGUGUUAGACAAAAACACAGAUAAAAGUAGUUAGGCUAAAUGUUGCAAGGAAUCUGAGUAGGGAAAAAAUAGAGAAAGAACAGUAAAACUAGCUCUAAAGCUGGAAAGAGGAUCACCAGUCCUCUAUAGGUACAUAUAACAAUAAAUUUCACUUAUAAAAAAAAGAUGAAAAAAUAUCCAUGAGCUACAAUAUAUAUCCAACAAUGGAGAAUAUAGUUUACAUAAAAUACAUGACUGGGGAGUCCAAUAAAAUAGUAAAUCCACAGUAUAAAAAAAAAAAGUCCACAAUAGCGGUAGUUGAAAAGUCCACAAACACUUGACACGUAAAGCGGCACUGUCAUGCCGAACUUACCUUUUCCCAAUCGAUUCCUCUUCUCCCCUUCUCUCAGGAUCUGUUAUUCAUUUCUUCCUGUCUGCUCUAGUUUUCUUUAAAACAUAAGACAAAGUAGGGACUGCUUGCCUUAUGGAGGUUUCCUACGCCCGGCCAGCUAUGACCAGCAGAGGAGCAAAGUGUGCUUCAUUUCCGCUGGUCAGAGCAAUUUUCCCAUGAUCCUUAGCUUUCCUCCCUGUUCCCGCAAUGCUUCCUGUCAGUAUUGACGAACGUCCUGUCAUUUAGACAAAACGCCGGCAAAACUGCCGAAUUGCAGAAUGAGAACAGUUUCUCCAUUCGUGUUAGAACGCAAUUGGGACUUUGUUCGGAUCGCAAUUUCAUUCGAAUGAAUGAAACUCUGAUCCUAUUGGUGCUGCAGCCUGUGGCUGCUCACUGUUAAAAAAACAAACAAAAAAAGCCCCCACACCUCCCGAGCCCUCAACUGUGCCGCGCGAGAGGGGGCUAUUAAACUGAAGCUGGGACCUAGAGCCCCAGCCCCCACCCCUGAGUGGUGGGUGGUGGCCCUAAAGGACAAUGGGGGGACCUAUUGUCCUCCCACCCAGCCCCCACCCCUGCACGGUGGGUGGGGGCCCUGAAUGAGAAUGUGGGGGGCAACCUAUUUUCCUCCCCCCCGGCCCCCACCCCUAAGCAGCGGGUGGGGGCCCUAAAGAAUAAUGGGGGGACCUAUUGUCCUCCCCCUGGCCUCCACCCCUGCACAAUGGGUGGUGGCCCUAAAUGAGAAUGUGGAGGGGAACCUAUUUUCCGACCCCUCGGCCCCCACCCCUGAGUGGUGGGGGCCCUAAAGGAUAAUUGGGGUACCUAUUGUUCUCACCCCUGUCCCCAACCCCUCCGUGGCGGGUGUGGGUACUAAAUAACAAUAAGGGGGGGACACCUACUGUCCUCCCCUUAGGCUUUCACACUUUUCUAACCGCAGUCAAUCGGUACUUUAUUGCUAUAUCUGGGUGGCCGCCAUUCAGUAAGCGAACAUGUGGCGGCGGCCAUCUUACGCACGAACUCUCAGCAGUGUUUGGUCGUCGAGUGUCUGGAACUCAAAUCGGACACUCAAUUACCCGAACACCGCUGCGACCUCUAGAGCUCCGCAACUCCCGAACGGAGGGGCCAAUUAGCCCCUCGUUCGGUGAGUUCAACGUACCGAACAAGGGGAUUCAUACAAAUGCGUUGUUAAUAGUGGAUGGCAAAGAUUUAUGGAUGUUUUACCUCCUGAACGGAGACCGACCGCAGGGCCAAAACACAUGGAACCCUUUUCGGCUACCACCUCGUGUGCGGUUGGUCAAAUUGUUUAUUCCCCAAAUUACCGAACCCCUGGUCCGAUCUGGGUGAAUUUUGAGUAUGUUAGCUUCCCAGGUCAGGGCUACCAGGGGGUACCACUUAGACCCUUGUACCCCACAGUUUUGGGGUACAUCCAGAAACCGGAUAAAACUUUAACAGAGAUAAGUGGAUUAAGUGUCACACAGAGGGGAGGAUAUGUAUGGGAGGUAACUACUGUACCAUUGGCUACUGUCCCAAUUAUUGUAAAUCCCUCCCUUGUGCAACGGACCGUUUUGCCCACAAGCAGUUAAAAACCGUUUAGGCGAUCUUCCCCUUUCAGAUGCACAGACAGCUACUGCAGUCACCACUCUCCCGAACUGCAAACACACGAAUACUGGAAACAGCCGAAUAGGAAAAUCCAUGCUAAUAGGUUUACACUCCUAGCAGUCAAACUGGAACAUCAUACAAUAAAUCCUCCCCCAAUAAUGAGACGACACUUCACUUUGAGGGUUAAGCAGGAACUCACUUGUAAUGGCCACACACUGGCUUUUAUGCAAGUCCCCAUGCAAGGGGACAUCCCACAGGGUGGGACACAGUAAAACCAAUCGUUUACAGGAGAACCAUAAAACACACAUUUACAUCACAAUCCCUCCUCUCUGUCCUGGAGAUAAUUGUGAAGUAAUCCACUUAUCUCCCAGGACAGAGGCAAGACUCCAUUAACCACUUGGCAGUAACAAUACAAUAAAAGACAUAAAAUUACAUACAGUUACAUUUAUUCCAUAAAACAUAGACAUUCUACAUAUCCCCAGAUAGCUUAGAUCUGAGUGCACAUUACUACCGAAUGGCGCUCAGAUAACAUAAAUACAGUUCAAUCGCCAUAGAGUAGAACGUUGUCCAUGUCCAGGCGCCUCACCAUGGCUGUGUGGGUGACUGGUAAGCGGACUGGGUGCGUUGCUGAGUGGGCAGAGACCAGCGGUAGUCUGUCCUGGUGCCAGCACUACCACGGGAGUAGUCUGGUUGGAGUCUGGUUGCUGGAGGGGGAGACCGACUGUCUCCCCUUUGGCUAAACAGCCCUGUCGCUGGGGGGAAAAACCGACCGUCCCUAUACCCUGUGCUGUAAGUGCAGAGACCACGGUCCCAUCUGCACGGUUGUGGGGCUUCUCAUCUCCCCUUGGUGGGCUAGGCCGCCGCUGGGAAGUAUUCUCCCCUCCUGGUAGAAUACUCUGCCGCUGGGGAGCCGGACCGGCUGUCCGUACUCCCUGUAGCUUGGGCGCGUAGACCACAGUCCCAUCUGUGCCGGUGGGGAGCUAAAUGUCUCUCCUUGGUGGGAUACGCUGCCGCUGUGGAGAGGGGGCAACAAGCUCUUCUCCCUGACACUCUCCCUGCUGGGGGAGAGGGGAACCGACUGUCUCCCCUUUCAAUAUAUUGUCCUGCUGCUGGGUAGGGAGGACGGUACCUUCCGCUCCCUGGGACUCACUUGACUGCUGAGGAGAGGGACCAACUGUCUCAUCUCCUAAGAACACACACGGCCGCUGGGGAGGACGGACGACACCUUCAGCUCCCUGGGACACACACUACCGCUGGGGAGGAAGGACGACACCUUCAGCUCCCUGGGACACACACUGCCGCUGGGGAGGAAGGACAACACCUUCAGCUCCCUGUAAUACACACUGCUGCUGGGGAGGGAGGACGGCACCUUCAGCCAGGGCCAGCGCUACCAUAAGGCGGCACAAGCGGCCGCCUUAGGGCGCACGGACCCAAGGGGCGCAAAAAUGUCCGAGUGACUGGCGGGAGCACGGAGAACUCCGCUCCCGCCGGUCAAUUUCUGCAGCAAUCUAGUCAGCUGGCUGGGAAACGUGCAGCCACUGAGGGAAGGGGGCGGAACAGCGAGGAGCGACCGCGGCAACUCUCUUCCUGAGCUACAGGCCGCUGGGAUACGUGACAUCAUAUCCCGGCGGCCAACUGCUGUGGAGGAAAGCUACAACAGUGCAGCGGGACCUCUGUUUUGCAACUAUAAGAAACAGUAAGUGUGUGUGUAAGAGUUAGUGUGUGUGUGUAAGAGUUAGUGUGUGUGUGUGUGUGUAAGAGUUAGUGUGUGUGUGUGUGUAAGAGUUAGUGUGUGUGUAAGAGUUAGUGUGUGUGUGUGUAAGAGUUAGUGUGUCUGUUAGAGCCAGUGUGUGUGUGUGUUAGAGUUAGUGUGUGUGUGUGUGUUAAUGUGUAUGUGUUAGAGCCAGUGUGUGUAUGUAAGAGUUAGUGUGUGUGUUAAUGUGUGUGUGUGUUAGAGCCAGUGUGUGAAUGUAAGAGUUAGUGUGUGUGUGUUAAUGUGUGUGUGUUAGAGCCAGUGUGUGUAUGUAAGAGUUAGUGUGUGUGUUAGUGUGUGUAUGUAAGAGUUAGUGUGUGUGUUAGAGCCAGUGUGUGAAUGUAAGAGUUAGUGUGUGUGUGUGUGUGUGUGUUAAUGUGUGUGUGUUAGAGCCAGUGUGUGUAUGUAAGAGCUAGUGUGUGUGUGUAAGAGUUAGUGUGUGUGUGUGUCUAUAAACUGUGUGUGUGUAAGAGACUGUGUGAGUGUAAAGCAGUGUGUGUGUGUGUGUGAGAGAGACUGUGUGUGUGUGUUACAGCUAGUGAGUGUGUAUAAGCAGUGUGUGUAAGAGACUGUUUGUGUGUGUCUGUUAGAGCCGGUGAGUGUGUAUAAGCCGUCCAAGUGUGUAAGAGACUGUGUGCGUUAGAGCCAGUGUGUGUGUAUUAGCAGUGUGUGUGUGUGUGUAAUGGUCAGUGUGUGUGUGUUAUGGUCAGUGUGUGUGUGUGUAUGAGCGAGUGAGUGUGUGACGCAAGGGGGUAAAGAAAAGUAGGAUGAAGACACAAAACACGUAAAAAAUAAUGCCAGACAGGAUACAAUAUACAAAAAAGGAAAACAAAAGAAAAAGGUGGUAAGAUGCAAAGGGGCAAAAUAAUUGGUAAGAGGGGCAAAAGUGGGAAUAUUAGACAGACAGGUGAAGAUAAAUUUUGGGGGCAGCAAAAUGUGUCUUCGUCUGUGUAGGCAGAAGUCCUUGCACCGGCCCUGCCUUCAGCUCCCUGGGACACACACUGCUGCUGGGGAGGAAGGACGACACCUUCAGCUCCCUGGGACACACACUGCUGCUGGGGAGGAAGGACGGCACCUUCAGCUCCCUGGGACUCACUUAACUGCUGAGGAGAGGGACCAACUGUCUCUUCUCUUAAGAACACACAUUGCCGCUGGGGAGGAAGGACGGCACCUUCAGCUCCCUGGGACACACACUGCCGCUGGGGAGGAAGGACGGCACCUUCAGCUCCCUGGGACACACACUGCCGCUGGGGAGGAAGGACGACACCUUCAGCUCCCUGGGACACACAAGCGCCAAUCUCCUGAACUGCAAACCCACGAAUUCACCAACUCCCUCUCUAACAGCAUACAGUAAAUCCUCCCCCAAUAAUGAGACGACACUUCACUUUGAGGGUUAAGCAGGAACUGAUUUACUGGGGCUAACUGCCCGGCUUUUAUGCAGGUCUCCCACCUGGUGGACACUCCCCUAGGGGACCAAAUGGGAGACUGGGACACAAAGGGUAAAAGGACCAAUCACAGACUUACACAUUUCAACCAUCCCACAAUGCAUCACAAUCCCUCCUCUCUGCUCUGGAGAUAACUGGGAAGUAAUUCAAUUAUCUCCAAAGACAGAGGCAAAACUCCAUUAACCACAUGGCAGAAAACAAACAGUAAAAGACAUAAAAAAUUUUUUUAUUUUUUUUCAAUUCUUUAUUUUUAUCGUGCUUUGAGUAGAUAACAAGCAAGCUCGUGGUGCCCCAAUAGCAUUCCCCGAGCAUAUUUUUCAGACUUAACAAUUGGAACAAUGAACUUAUCAGCACAUUUUAUAGUGUUAAAAUAAUGUCGCUCAGAACAGGAUGUAAGCAAAAACAUGUUACAUUAGCAUAGGUUUUGAUCACAAGAGGUUUAAUAACAUGUCUAACUUAGUGAAAUCAAGCGAUAUCUGCACUCGAGUGUCGGUGGUGUAAGCUUUGCCCUCCUCCCCUGGGUGGGGUGGGGGGGGGAUGAUUUGUGCAUGGUUGACCUCUCGUGGUGAGCGGCAUAGCCCCUAACCAAGGCGGUAGCGGGGGGGGGUGUGUGCGCUUCAAUGAUUGGUCAUGUGUGGCUAGAUGCAACCGGACUAGGGUCAUAGAUGGCGCAGCUUCGUGAGUGUUUGGGUGUAGUGAGCCUGGUGUCUCUAUGCCCAGUGGGCCCAGGCGGAAAAUUGUGUCUUCUAAUGGGUGAUUCUACCGCAAGGGACAUAGACAUACGGCAUGAAGAAAGAAGAAAAAAAAAAAAAAGGUAAUAACACAAGAACAAGCAGAACUUUACAUCUCUACAACUUUGCAACUUUGCAGCCUAGGGCUGCCGGAUCAGUGAGUCCCUCCGUUAGGUUUGGACUGGGCUGGAGAUGUCCCUGCCAGUCAGGAAUCAGGUGGGCAAUCGGCUACAGUUCUUGGCACAAAUGGUACCACUCUGGAUGGGACCCAUCCGUGUGCGCGAUUUGAGUCCGUUGGUGCUACCAUUGCCUCUUGCAUGUCUAGAGCUGCAAGGAAUGCUGGGAUAUCAGUCCCCGUAGUUAGCCGUUGCGUGGACCCCUUGUACGAGACAAGGAGGGAUCGUGGUGUUCCCCACCUGUAGGGCACUCCUGCUGCCCGCAGUCGGGUGGUGACAGGGUUCAGGGAUUUUUGCCCUUGUAGUGUGGCCUUGGAUAAGUCCUGGUAGAAGGACAGUUGCGAGUCUUCAAAGGGCAGUGGAGUCUUGUUUCUUACCGCUGCCAUUAUUUGCCCCUUGUCUUGAGGUAGUGCGCAGCGGAGUAUGACGUCGCCUGGCGUUUUGGCGGUGGUUAAGGUAGACGUUGGUAUUCGAUAUAGCCCAGCGAUGGUUAUUUUUUUAGCCGUAGCAGGUGGCAGUACUGAAGCCAGCAGCCUUCUGAUGUAGUGUGGCAGUUCCUCUUGGGGGACCGUGGCCGGGAUGCCCCUUAUUUUUACGUGGUUGCGGCGGUACCUGUCCUCCUGCGCUGCCACCUGUAGUGUAAGGGCCUGUUGGGCUGCUUGUAGUUGGAGUAUAGAUGCCUGCAUGGUGGAGGUGUCUUGGCUUAGCUCCUUAAUAUUUGCUUCAGUUGCCUCCAUUCUGCCUGUUAGUUGAUGUAGGGAUGAUUUUAGGAUAGGCAGGUCCGCAGUGAGGAGGUUUUGAAUGUCCUGCAGCAUAGUGUACAGGGUUUGGAGGUCCUGUUUGGUUGCAGGUUCAGAGUUACCUGCUGAGGCUGUGGGCUGUUGCUGUGAGCUCUCUGCAGCUGAAGUGUUGCAGAUGCCUCUGUGUGGGGAGCCUCUGGUGAGGUUGGGCCUUCCGCGGCCGCCAUCUUGGCGGAGGUGUGCCGUUGGAGCAUAGCUCCUAUGUCCCUCUGUUCUGGAGCGUUACUGGGGGUACUCUUCUGAUUUCUACGCCCCAUUGCUGUGUUAGCAGGUGAUGUAAGGGUCGGCCACCACUCUGCUGUGUUUCCCGCGGGGUCCCCGCCCCAGAGAAACUCGAGGUCGCGGUUGGCGGGUGUGUGGUAGGCCCCGGUCCUGCGUCUUGCUUUUAGAUGCUUCGGAGAGUACUGGAAGGGCAUCUGGGGAUUCGGUGUGGUGUCCCCAGGCUGUAGCUGAUGCUUACGCCGUCGGAUGGCGGCUAGUCUCCAGGAUAUUGCCUAGAUUGUGAGUGCGAUCGACGGAGCUGGGAGAGAUCUAAAAUACAUAAAAUUACCUACAGUUACAUUCAGUAUAUGAAACAUAUACGUUCUACAUAUCCCCAGAUAGCUCAGGUCUGAGCGCACAUUAUUAAGCGAAUGGCGCUCAGACCACAUGAAUACAGUUUAAUCGCCAUGGAGCCAAAGUCUUUACACAGUCAGUUUCAUGCGAAUGGGCUCCAUGGGAUUCCUAUCUGGGGCACAACAUACUCAAACAAAUCAUAGUCCAAAGGCAGCAGGCGAGCAACUAGGCUUCUCCAGUGUACAGUGGUGAGGUUGGUUUCGCCACAGUGUAUGUAUCUGGGUGGCCGCCGUUCGGCAUACGAACACGUGGCGGCGGCUAUCUUACACACGAAAGACUCAGCUGUGUUUGGUCGUCGAGUGUCUGGAACUCAAAUCGGACACUGAAUUACCCGAACACCGCUGAAACCUCCAGGGCUCCGUAACUCCCGAACGGGAAGGCUAAUCAGCCCCCCCCGUUCAGUUAAAAUACCAAAAAAGGGUAUUCAUACGAAUGUAAUGUUAAUCGUGGAUGGCAGUUUUUUAUGUGUGUUUCACCUCCCGAACGGAGACCGACCGCAGGGCCAAAACACAUGGAACCCUUUUCGGAUACCACCUCGUGUGCGGUCGGUCAAAUUACACCCUCCACCUAACUCCCGAACCCGUGGUCCGAUCUGGGUGAAUUUUGGAUAUGUUAGUCACCCAGAUCAGGGCUACCAGGGGGUACCAAAAGUACUAGUGUAUCUGCUGAUCUUAGGGUACAUCCAGAACUUGGGGAAAACUACAGCAUGUGUAAUGGGAUUAAGUGUCACACUGAGGGGAGGAGAUGUGUGGGAGGUAACUGUUACACCAUUGGAUACUGUACUGAUUAAUGUGAAUCCCUCCCUUGCAUUGGAGAAUGCUUUAUAAGGAGGUUGUGUGGAUUAAAAGUCAGUUCUGCUCCUGAUGCUGUGUGUCGUCCAGUCAUUAAGAUCUGUAUGAGGAUAUUCGUGAAUUACCUUGCUUGCUGGAAUUAUUACUCUAUGGGAUUUUUUUAUCACUUGUUCCUGGGCCUCACUGGGAUCUUUAGUGGAGUUAACCUGUGGAAUACCAGGCCUCCGCUACAGCCCCCAACUAAAAGACCGCUCCACCUGGAUCCGUCCAGGCCUACUUCAACCACCUCGAGCAGCCGCUCACUGCUACCAAUCUGAGACACCAACGCCAUAUGGCUCGGCAAUUCCCAUAACUACUGUGGAACAAUGGGAAGUGUUACAUGAAGCAGAUCCCAUACAAGCGAAUGCAGAUAACCAUCAACAUCACAGACAAACGGUCUACCUAGAGGGGAAAGCAGUCCAAGGGCUCCGUGACUCGGGGGCCACCAUCACUCUGGUCAAAAGUCACUUUGUACCCGAUUGGGCCAAGACCAGCCGAACUGUGGCAGUCAGGGUAGCCGGGGGAGCAGUAUACCGGCUACCCACAGCCCGGGUACAUUUGCAUUGGGGAGUGGGGUUUGGGAAUGUGGAAGUGGGGUUAAUGCCACAACUGCCGGCGGAGGUUUUGCUGGGGAACGAUCUGGGCAAACUCACUUCUGCUUUUGAGCCCCAGGCACCAAAAACCGGAGAAGCACACCCAGUAGUUACUCGACAACAGGCCCGCAUCCACGACUACAACACACUCCCAGAGGUCCAGGUAAGAGAUCCUUCCCCUGCCUUAGAGUGUAUCCCCUGGGCUCCCCCUACCGAAUUUGCGGCCGAGGUUAUCACUGACCCCACAUUACAGGUCUAUAGAGACAAGGUCACCUCGGACCGACCUGGGGGGAGGGCGAAAGAUUUGUAUGGGAUAACCAGUUGCUGUAUAGGGAGUCUGACAAGCAGGUAGCUGGGUCAGACCCGAUUGUCAUGAGGCAGCUAGUCGUACCACAACGGUACUGAUCUGAAUUACUCCGGAUAGCGCACGAUAUCCCGCUAUCCGGACAUUUGGGGGUCAGUCCCACCUGUCACCGACUGACCCAAAGUUUCUUUUGGCUGGGAGUUAGCCAGGAAGUCCACAGGUACUGCAAUACUUGUGACAUGUGUCAACGGGUAGGGAAGAGAGGGGACCGGCGGAAGGCAAAACUGCACCCGCUACCCAUAAUUGAGGAGCCAUUCAGUAGAGUAGCUGUAGGUUUAAUAGGCCCCCUACAGAGACCCAGCCCUUCUGGUAAAAAGUAUAUUUUAACAGUAGUAGACUAUGCCACCCGAUAUCCAGAGGCGGUGGCUUUGACUAACAUCCAUGCAGAAACAGUGGCUGAGGCCCUGAUGCAGAUUUUCUACAGGAUGGGGUUACCCAGGGAGAUCAUCUCGGAUCAGGGCACCCAGUUCACUGCGGAAAUUACCCAACACCUCUGGAAAUUCUGUGACAUCAAGCCUAUAAUCAGUGCUCCAUAUCAUCCCCAGACCAAUGGGCUAUGCGAACGGUUCAAUGGAACAUUGAAACAAAUGCUCCGAACCUUCACGGACACACAUAGGGACUGGGGGCGAUUCCUGCCCCAUCUCCUAUUCGUGUACAGGGAGGUGCCGCAGAAAUCGACCAGGUUUUCCCCGUUUGAAUUACUAUUCGGGCGUCGGGUAAGAGGACCCCUCGACCUGAUUAGGGAGCACUGGGAGGGAGAUCGGAGCGCAGACAUAUGUGCUGGCGUUUCGACAUCGUCUGGAAGCAUUAACUAAGUCUGUAAGGGAGAACCUCCAGGCGGCUCAGACUCGCCAGCGCACAUGGUAUGAUCGGGGCGCCAGGGACCGUAGCUUCCAGGUUGGGCAGAAGAUUUAAAUUUUAAAACCUGUCCGACAUGAUAAGCUACAGGCCGCCUGGCAGGGCCCCUAUAAAGUGAUGGAGCAAAGAUGCGACACCACUUAUAUAAUUGGUUCCUGCGCCGAAACUGGAGGGCGACGCAUGAUCCAUGUGAACAUGAUGAAGCUCUACCAGCAAUGUUCAGAGGAGGUAACAACCAUUUGUGCCCCCUCCUCUGAGGAGUUCGCUAACCUGCCUCUCCCAGAUCUGCUGGGAGACGGUCGGCUGUCAGGGGAUCUAGGGGAGGUUACGCUGGGGGAUCGGUUGAGCCCACAGGAGCGUACCGAGGUACAACAGUUACUAAAGGAGAAACAGGAGACCUUCUCCAAUAUACCUGGGUACACCCCUCUUGCCACUCACUGGGUAGAAACCCCACGGCAGCUUCCCAUGCGCCAGACGCCUUACCGCAUCCCUGAAGCAGUAAGGGAGAGCAUGCGCAAGGAGAUCGAGGAGAUGCUCCAACUGGGGGUGAUUGAGCAGUCAGCCCCUGGGCCUCCCCUGUAGUCCUCGUACCCAAGCGGGACGGCACAAAAAGACAGUAUCUGACGCAUAUCCUAUGCCUCGAAUAGAUGAACUGUUAGACCGGAUGGCCAGAGGCCAAUUCCUCACGACCAUUGAUCUAUGUAAGGGGUAUUGGCAGAUCCCCCUAGCCCCGGACGCCAUCCCUAAGUCCGCCUUUGUCACCCCAUUCGGCUUAUACCAAUUUAAGGUGAUGCAGUUUGGGAUGAAAAACGCACCAGCCACCUUCCAGAGGAUGGUAGACCGGCUCCUAGAUGGGUUUCAGGAUUACACCUGUGCUUAUUUAGAUGACAUUGCUAUCUUUAGCAAUACCUGGCAGGAACAUCUGGCCCACAUUGGAGCGGUGUUAGAUAGAAUCCGAGAAGCCUGAUUAACCUUGAAACCAGCUAAAUACAAUAUAGGUAUGGCUGAGGUACAGUACCUCGGACACAGAGUAGGUUGCGGGAAGCAGAGGCCUGAACCCGCAAAAGUAGAGGCCGUAGCGCAAUGGCCAACCCCUAGGACAAAAACCCAAGUCCUGGCGUUUCUAGGGACCGCCGGGUAUUACAGGAAGUUUGUACCCAACUAUAGCGCCCUGGCCAAACCCCUUAAUGACCUUACCCGCAAAAACCUUCCCGGCCAAGUAACCUGGACCCGGAGUGUGAGUAGGCAUUCCAACAUCUGAAAAAUGCACUUAGCAAUGCCCCUGUCUUGGCAGCUCCCAAUCCAACUAAAUGUUUUCUUGUUCACACAGACGCUUCUAUGUUUGGAUUGGGGGCAGUAUUAAGCCAAGUCGGGGCCGAUGGCGGAGAACAUCCCGUAGCCUACAUCAGUCGGAAACUAUUACCUAGAGAAGUGAGCUAAGCCGCCAUCGAGAAGGAGUGCCUGGCUGUGGUGUGGGCCUUAAAGAAAUUGCAACCCUAUUUGUAUGGACAGUCCUUUUCACUGCUCACGGAUCACAACCCGUUGGUAUGGUUAAACCGGGUGGCAGGGGACAAUGCCCGGCAGUUUAGUUUGGCGCUGCAGCCGUUUGACUUUAACAUCCAGUACCGCCCGGGAAAACAGAAUGGCAACGCUGACGGGUUGUCCAGACAAACUGACCUUGAAAAAUGAUCUGUGAGCCACCCGGACAUCCCCAAGCCGAUCCGUGUUGGAUCAGAUUGUGUAUGCCGGCUUGUGGGCAAGGGGGAGCAGUGUAGCGGAUGGCACUGGACUGUCCUCCAAAAUUAUGCUUAAAAGACAAUUCGUGUGUUUUUGUUUUCCUGUAUAAUUAAAAUUGUAUGUAGAAUUCGUAUGUUUGUUUGGUAGUUUUCAUCCGUAUUUCAUACGAAUGAAAACGACAGAAUCAAUAGACCACCCCAGAGAGAAGUGUGUACCUCAUUAGGCUUUCACACUUCUCUAACCGCAGUCAAUCGGUACUUUAUUGCUAUAUCUGGGUGGCCGCCAUUCAGUAAGCGAACACGUGGCGGCGGCCAUCUUACGCACGAACUCUCAGCGGUGUUUGGUCGUCAAGUGUCUGGAACUCAAAUCGGACACUCAAUUACCCGAACACCGCUGAGACCUCCAGAACUCCGUAAUUCCCAAAUGGAGGGGCCAAUUAGCCCCUUGUUCGGUGAGUUCAACGUACCGAACAAGGGGAUUCAUACAAAUGCGUUGUUAAUAGUGGAUGGCAAAGAUUUAUGGAUGUUUUACCUCCCGAACGGAGACCGGCCGCAGGGCCAAAACACAUGGUACCCUUUUCGGCUACCUCCUCGUGUGUGGUCGGUCAAAUUGUUUAUUCCCCAUAACUCCCGAACCCCUGGUCCGAUCUGGGUGAAUUUUGAGUAUGUUAGCUUCCUAGGUCAGGGCUGCCAGGGGGUACCACUUAGACCACAGUUUUGGGGUACAUCCAGAAACUGGGUAAAACUGGAACAUAAGUGGAUUAAGUGUCACACUGAGGGGAGGAUAUGUAUGGGAGGUAACUACUGUACCAUUGGCUACUGUCCCAAUUAUUGUAAAUCCCUCCCUUGCAUGGGAGAAACCUUUAUAAGGAAACCAUGUGAUUAAAAGCGGAGUUCUGCUACUGAUGCUGUGUGUCGUCCAGUCAUUGGGAUUGAGGUUGGGAUAUUGUUGGAGUGUUUUGCCUGCUGGAAAUAUUACCUUCUGGAUUUAUAAUACUUGUUCCUGAGCCUUACUGGGAUCUAAAGUGGAGAUAAGCUGUGUAAGAGCAGCUCUCCGCUACAGGGGGGACCUACUGUCCUCCCCCACCCCCCACCCUUGCGCUGUGGGUGGGGGCCCUAAAUAACAAUGAGGGGGAACCUAUUGUCCUCCCUCGUGGCUUCCACCCAAAUAAGAAAUGAUCCUCUACCUACCCUCCUCACCCUAAAAAUAGUGAGGGGAGGAUAAAAUAACUAACUAACUGUGGGGAAGUUCUUUGGAGUUUCCCACGCUGUGUAAAAUGACACAGAGCACUCUGGAUGGAUUUCAAGGCAAAUAGGAGUGCUGGGUCAGUUGCCAUGGCAACUGGGAAACCGUGCAAACAGUGACGAGUGUGUUAACAAAAAAGUAGGUUUCCAUGAGGACUGGAAUGGAGCAGAAAGCCAGAACUUAUGAAAGUAAACCUAGAAAAACAGAAUGAUGUGUACAUAAGGUUGAUGUUGCAGGAGGGAUAAGCCAAAUGGCAAAUGGUUUAGGUAAACUAGAAAAAUGGUCACAGUUGUGGCAACUGACAUUUAAUGUGUAUAAGUGCAAGAUAAUGCAUCUUUGACGUAAAAACCCAAGGGCAGAGUACAGCAUAUUUGAUAGAGUUCUAACCUCAACAUAUGGGGAAAGGUUGUUAUGGGUGAUUAUUUCUGAUGACUUAAAGGUAGGCAGACAAUGUACUACAGCAGCAGGAAAUGCUAGCAGAAUGCUUGGUUGUAUAGGGAGAGGUAUUAGCAGUAGAAAGAGGGAAGUGCUCAAACCAUUGUACAGAGCGUUGUUGAGACCUCACUUGGAGUAUUGUACGCAGUACUGGAGACCAUAUCUCCAGAAGGAUAUUGAUACUUUAUAGAGAGUUCAGAGAAGGGCUACUAAACUGGGGGGGGAGGGGAUAUGAUAGAAACAUUUAAAUACAUAAAGGGAAUCAACACAGUAAACGAGGAGACUAUAUUUAAAAGAAGAAAAACUACCACAACAAGAGGACAGUCUUAAAGGAGCACUAUAGGGUCAGGAACACAAACAUGUAUUCCUGACCCUAUAGUGUUAAAACCAUCAUCUAGCCCCCAUGGACCUCUCAUGCCUCCCGAAAUAUAGAAAUCUUACUGUAUUCAAGCCUGAAGCUGUAACUCUGCAUGCUGUAAGACUCAGAAAAACAAGCAGUCUGCUGACAUCAUCAGAAGUGGUAGCCUGAUCCAGUCACAAUGCUUCCCCAUAGGAUUGGCUGAGACUGACAAGGAGGCAGAUCAGGCAGAGCCAGCAUGAUUCAAACACAGCCCUGGCCAAUCAGCAUCUCCUCAUAGAGAUGAAUUGAAUCAAUGAAUCUCUAUGAGGAAAGUUCAGUGUCUGCAUGCAGAGGGAGGAGACACUGAAUGUUUGGAUGCAUUUUAGGCAGCCAUGACCCAGGAAGGAUCUCUAACAGCCAUCUGAGGAGUGGCCAGUGAAGUUAUCACUAGGCUGUAAUGUAAAGACUGCAUUUUCUCUGAAAACACAGUGUUUACAGCAAAAAGCCUGACGGUAAUGAUUCUACUCACCAGAACAAAUUCAAUAAGCUAAAAUUAUUGUCCUAGUAGCAUAGAGCUAGAGAUAGUGCCUAAAUAUGCACAUAUAUAGAGACUAGGAGGGACAUCUAGUGGCAGGAAAGAGAAACACAGAAUACCCAGAACUAUUACAGGUGAUACUCAAAAAAAUUAGAAUAUUGUGCAAAAGUACAUUUAUUUCAGUAAUGCAACAUAAAAGGGGAAACUAAUAUAUGAGAUAGACGCAUUACAUGCAAAGCACGAUAGUUCAAGCCAUGAAUAUACUGGUUUUCUUUUCAAUAUCUACUGUAUCCACUUUAUAUUUAUUGUGUCUUUUUUAGUAAACUCAGGGCCAGCGCUUCCUAUAGGCGACUAGUGUCAGGACUCCCCCAUGUUGUUUGGGAAUUCCAGCCAGACCAGCAUUUAGCGAUCAGACCCCACCUAUGCUUGUGAUGUCAUCCAUUCCUGAGUUAAAAGGAAGCUGCUCCUGAUCUCAGGUGCUCAAUCAAUUUUGUUUGGUUUAUGUCUCUAGCAUUCUUGUUACUUUUUUGUCGCUUGAAAGGAGCUCCACUAUUUGAUUUCCUGUGUACUGAGCCCUCCGGCUUGAUCCUGACUAUGUUUUACUCAACUCUCCCUGACUGGAUACAGACGACAUUGGAUUCCUACCUUCUCUACAUACUACAGGGAACCAUAAUCCUCACUAUCUUGGAAAGGACUUCAAUGCUCAUCAUCCAAGGAUGCAAAGAUAAGUUCACCAGUUACUGGGAUUAAUAACAGGUUCUUCCCUAAAUGUUAUUUCAGAAGGAAAGGGAAUAUAAAGUCUGUUCUCUAUGAUUUCAUUUGUACCUUAUUAAGAACUUUUAUUUGCCAAGUGCCAUUUAUGUUAUUUCGUUAUUACUGAUGUCAAAGGAAAAUAAGACUUCAUACAGAAUCAAGUUAUAUUCAUUUGUGACUUCUAAAAACAUGGCUCCUAUGAUGCAUCCUUAAAGGGGGCGCCCUGCGAUGUGAGCGCGUCACCCCUCAUGCUGCAGCCGCCUUCAGGAGACACAGCUUGGGCUGGCGCAUCCUUAAGAUAUGAGUGAUCCGGCACAACGCAGUCACUCAGGAUAACGUGGCCUGGCGGCACGGGGGAGUGGAAAGUGAGAGACCACCAGGGCAGUGGUGGAGAGAGAGAGACCACCAGAGAGAAACCACCAUUGGAGGGGGGUUUGAGAGAGACCACCAAGGUGGUGGGGGGGAGAGACCACCAGAGAGAAACCACCAUUGGAGGAGGGGGGGUUAGAGAGAUACUUCGCGGUAGGCAAACAGAAGAUGGGGAAGAUACUUUUCCCAAUUCCUGCAGGACUCUGCGAAGGUUUUCGGGAUCAGUUUAAGUGUGACAUUAAACCGUUCAGAGUCCAUUGGUCUGGGGAUGGUAGGGGGCGCUGAAUAGGACUUUCACUCCGCAGCUCUGCCAUAGUUGCUGGGUAAGGAGAGCUGUGAACUGAGUCCCUCAAUCGGACAAGAUCUCCUGCGGAAAACCUACCCGGGAGAAUAUUUUAACUAGGACCUCGGCCACGGUCUCGGCCUCUAUAUUGGUGAGGGCUACCGCUUCCGGGUAUCUAGUGGCGUAGUCCACUACAGUUAGAAUGAAUCUCUUGCCAGACUGACUGGGUCGGCUGAGAGGUCCUAUUAGGUCCACUGCUACUCGGUGGAAGGGUUCUUCUAUAAUCGGUAAAGGGUGAAGUUUGGCUUUGUGGUGAUUACCUCUCUUCCCUAGUCUUUGACAUAUGUCACAUGUCCUACAAUAAUACUUCAGAUCUUGCGUAAUCCUAGGCCAGAAGAACGUUUGGGUCAAUCGGGCCCUCGUCUUUUUGACCCCUAGAUGUCCCGCUAGGGGAAUAUCAGGACUGAGUUUUAAUAACUCGGCUCGAAAUUUACGGGGUAUUACCAGUUGUCUUUUAGUGACCUGCGUGGCCCCGCGUCCCACCCCUUCAGUCACUCGGUACAACAAUCCCUUAUACCAUUCAAACUUUUCGUGGGGGUUAUCCCCCUUAGGUAUCUCUACGGCCUUUCUAUACCCUUCUACAGUGGGGUCUGUCCGCUGCUCUUGUUCAAACCCCUGUGGUGUAUCCCAGAUGGUGGUAGGGGGAUCUGGCAAAGGGGGGAUGUCAACUCCUACCUGAUUGUCCUCAGAGUGCAGCGGUGCUUCCAGUCGGGCUUGGGCUCGGGUGGUAACGGCGUAGGCUUCCACUGUAGUGUCCCGGGUUAGUUGAGAGGUUAAACAGCCGACGUCAUUUCCCAACAGGACCUCAGCUGGCAGUUCCUGCAUAAUGCCAACCUCCAACUGUUUGGACCCAGAACCCCAAUCGACCAGUACGUUGGCUGUAGGUAGCUUGUGUAUAGCACCCCCAGCCACCCUUACGGCUACGGUGCGAUCAUGUGGGGUUGUACUACCGUUAGAGUGGCCCCAGAGUCCCUCAGCGCUCGCGCCCCCACGCCAUUCACUGUAAUCCAUUGGCGGUGGUGGUCCCGGUUGUCUCCCCCAGCUUGCACUGGAUUGACCUCAUGCAACACACUCCACUGUUUUUCUUGGUUAGGUGUGCUUUCCGGCUGUACACAAUGGGUGGCUGACCUGGGAUGUUGUGGUGGUUGCCUUUCUCAGCUUCCUCUGUUUAAGCGAGGACACUGGUUCUUGUAAUGUCCUGGCUGUUUACAGUAAUGACACACUGCAGGGGGUCGAGGCGUUACUGCUGGACCUUGUGGUGGGUUACUUAUGGCGGUUCUAGGGACGGCAGGGGGUGCUGGCGCCGGGUAGUUGGGCCUAAACGUGGGUCUGCUUCCCCCCUGUUCCCUCCUCCUGUUGUCUUGAUAUUCAUCCGCUAGUCUGGCAGCUUCCUCCACAGUUUGGGGUUUUCUGUCCUUUACCCAAUCUUUGAUAUCCUCUGCAGUGUAAUUAAAAAAUUGUUCUAGCAGCAUAAGUUGUAAGGCAUCUUCCAGGGUAGUUGCUUGACAGCCCUGCAUCCAAUUACGGGCUGACCUGUGUAGCCGAAAAGCCCAUUCAGUGUGGGAAUCUCUCCCUGUCUCUCGAAGUUCCCGAAACUUUUUCCGGUAUGCCUCUGGGGUUAAAGCGUAUCUAUCCUUUUAUUUUCUCAUAAUUAUGCAUGUCCCCAUCCAGUACCGCCCUCAACGCCUCUGCUGCUCUUCCUGAUAGUUUGCUGCUCAGUACUGCAGCCCAUUUUGUGGAGUCUAAUCCCUCCAGCGCACAUUGACGUUCAAUGUCUUGUAAUCAUCAUUAAAACUUUUAAAUGCUGCAUAAUUUACCUUCUUUGGAAGAUCAUUGGCACUUACCGGGGAGUGUAGCAAAUCCCCCUGCUGUAGCGGUCUGUCUCGGUCCUCUCACUCUUUUUGUGAUUGUCUGGCUUGUGCCAUGACCUGCAGAACCGCUUCUGUUGAUGGAUUGGGUCCCAAUACACUGAGCAUCCAUUUGAUAUCUUUCUGCAUCUAAGUUUCUUCCUCAUGCUCCAUUUCUGUAUUGCUGGUUCCAUCGCUCUGUAUUAAUUCUGCAAUUAAUGUGGUUUUUGUCUUGUUACUUGCCACUACGCCUCGAGCUUCCAGUAAAUCCUUCAGCGUGGUUCUCUUAAGUAGCUGGUAUUGCUGAGCCAUUCAUUCCCUUGCUUGGUUCAGGGCGUCCAUUUGGAAUUCGAAUCCCUCCGCUUGCCACCAGUUGUAAGGAAACCAAGUGUAUUUAAACCUCAUUCGGUAGUUUCCUCCCAAACCACCAGAGCAUUAGUGAGUAUAGCCCUCUGUAUGGUACAUAAAGGAGACGAACCAUAUAGUAAUCCCAAUUGCUUCACAAGAUGAUUCCCUUAGUGAAACACACAAAUCCCCAAACAUCAGCCGAAGUCAAGAAGAAGGGUACAACUGAACUAACUUUUAAUGGGUGCACACAGGCUUUUAUGCAAAUCCCCAUGCAAGGGGACAUCCCUCAGGGAGGGACAAAGGUUAACCAAUCACAUACUGUAAAAAUAUAGGCUGUCUGCGCAGUAUAUGGGGGCUGUCUGCGCAGUAUAUGGGGGGCUGUCUGCGCAGUAUAUGGGGGGCUGUCUGUGCAGUAUAUGAGGGGCUGCCUGUGCAGUAUAUUAGGGGGGUCUGCGCUGUAUAUGGGGGAUCUGCGCAGUAUAUUGAGGGGGUCUGCACAGUAUAUGGGGGCUGUCUGUGCAGUAUAUGAGGGGCUGCCUGUGCAGUAUAUUAGGGGGGUCUGCGCUGUAUAUGGGGGAUCUGCACAGUAUAUUGAGGGGGUCUGUGCGCGCUGUAUAUGGGGGUUCUGCACAGUAUAUGGGGGGCUGUCUGCGCAGUAUAUGGGGGGCUGUCUGCGCAGUAUAUUAGGGGGGUCUGCGCUGUAUAUGGGGGGCUGCCUGUGUAGUAUAUUAGGGGGGUCUGCACUGUAUAUGGGGGAUCUGCAAAGUAUAUUGAGGGGGUCUGCGCGCGCUGUAUAUGGGGGGGUCUGCGCAGUAUAUGGGAGGCUGUCUGUGCAGUAUAUGCAGGGCUGUCUGUGCAGUAUAUUGGGGGGGGUCUGCGAAGUAUAAUGGGGGGUCUGCGCAGUAUAUUGGGGGUCUGUGAAGUAUAUUGGGGUGGCCUGUGUGUUAGAUGGAGGGGCUGUUCGUUACAUGUGAGGGGGCAGUGUAUUAUAUUUGGGGGCUGUGCGUUAUAUGGGGAGCUGUACAGUACUUGUGGCCUGUGUGUUAGAUGUGUACAACCCUAGUUUCACAGAAAAAUAUUUAUUUCCUAGAUAUCAAAUGCCAUGGCAUGCUUUUUGCUAUGAAACCGCAGCCAUCUAGUCACUCGCCAGAGAAGGAUGAGAAACUGCACCCCCACCCCAGCGAGAGGGACUGCCCCACAUCUGCAACCAAAUCCGUCGGUCACCAAAUUCAGUAAUCUCCGUCUCUUUGUGCAUUGUGUAUGUAUGGUACUCCCAAUUCUUAUAUUUAAUCCAGUGUGUCUCCCACAAUCUUUGUGUCUGUCUGCUGUAUGUAUGUGGCACGCAAGUCUGCACGCACUGUGUCUGUUAUGCCAGUUACUCUAACCAGUUUAUUUCUUUUUGUGUGUGUCACAGCUCUGACAAGCAUGUUCUCCUACGGGACACGAAGUACAUGAAGAGGAAUGAAGAAGCCCAUGUUUGAUGCUCGUCUCCAGGGUGGAGUAUUGAAUAUAUAAGUAAUGAAGUGGCAUCUGACACAUGACAAGCUGCUCCUGUUUGCACAGCACCUUCAACAUUGUGUACUGUGAUCACGGCAUAGUUCAGAGGUAGGUAACCUUGGGCAGUCCAGAUGCUGUGAAUUACAUCUCCCAUAAUGCUGGCAAACCAUUAUGGGAGGUGUAGUCCAAAACAUCUGGAAUACCAAAUGCGUAUGAAUGAAAAGUAUGGUGUGUGUGAAUGGUCAGUAACAAGGGUUGAAGCCUUGACGUGGCGUUACUGCUCACAUGUGUAUCCAUGUGCCAAUUCAAGCAAUGUGAG